GCAGUGUCCUUGGCAGGGAUAAGAACAGGCUUUGCAUGGAAUGUCUCACUGUAACUGGAUAUUACGGAGCGCUAUUAUUUGUCACCAGUAUAUUUCUCCUGACCGUUUCUUGUUGUGUAACCAAAGUUGAGGGCAUUUCCUCUGUGACGCAGGAACAUCCAUUCCCAAUCAGCUGCAAAGGUCACCAUAGAUACUCUGAAAGAACAGUGUGGGUGUAUUAAAAUCAGGAUUGCAUAAGAGGACUGCCUGACUGCUGGAGUGAUGAAUGUGUUUUUAGAAGGCCUUCUAAAAAACACUCGUGCUUCGAUGCACAACUUUGCAGGGAAACCAUCAGUGGCCGUGGAAGAAGUGCAGGCAGGGAACUUCUCCUUCUCUUCAGCUGUCUGUGCAGGAAUGAACAGAGAGCCAAAACUGAUUCCAUUGGAACACCUGUGUCUGGAGACAGACUCUCUCUUGGAAGCAGAAAAACAUUACAGGAAUGAACCUAAGAACACACUGCUUGUCUGUGAGUGCAUUGCUCAAGUCAAUGGAAUCACACCUCAAAUGGUUAUUCAUGCCAGCACAGAGAAUGCCCUCCGAUUGUUCCUUGGGUCACACACAUCACACUAAAUGUAUAGGUCUAAUUCUUGGCUUUUUGUAAAUUAAUUCAUAUUGUGUUCUCUCAUGCUGUAUCUCUGAAAAUGAAAUAGUGAAAUAAAAUGGAGACUGGUGUUUGUGCAUGUUGA